rnacentral:rRNA from 1 species
GGCCCAGACUCCUACGGGAGGCAGCAGUGGGGAAUAUUGCACAAUGGGGGGAACCCUGAUGCAGCGACGCCGCGUGGGUGAAGGAGUAUUUCGGUAUGUAAAGCCCUAUCAGCAGGGAAGAACAAUGACGGUACCUGACUAAGAAGCACCGGCUAAAUACGUGCCAGCAGCCGCGGUAAUACGUAUGGUGCAAGCGUUAUCCGGAUUUACUGGGUGUAAAGGGAGCGCAGGCGGCGCGUUAAGCCUGGUGUGAAAGCCCGCAGCUCAACUGCGGGACUGCUUUUGAAACUGUAUGACUAGAUUGCAGGAGAGGUAAGUGGAAUUCCUAGUGUAGCGGUGAAAUGCGUAGAUAUUAGGAGGAACACCAGUGGCGAAGGCGGCUUACUGGACUGUAAAUGACGCUGAGGCUCGAAAGCGUGGGGAGCAAACAGGAUUAGAUACCCCGGUA